CAGAGAGGAUUUACAGGAAUUGGAGGAGAGGUGAAGCAACAACGGCUCUGCAACAACCGAUGCCAUAACCUACUGCCAAGUAAAUUAAGAAGGGCCGUGUCGCGGGGGUAGCAGGCCAAGCAAAGCACCCCAGAUGUGCCUCUCCCCAGCAACGCUUUGCAGCUCCUCCUGGGGGACCCCAAGGUGUUCCCAUGCAAGAUGUCCGAGCUCCUUAUCCUAUCUCUAAGGUUGAGCCCAGCCAUGCCAUGGAGAAAACUAAUUUUGGCCACGUGUAUAUGCGAUCUCAUUCUUUCGGUCACUUCCCUGUGCCACUCCACAGGCAGCCCAGACAGCUCAACAA